AAAGUCGUAACAAGGUUUCCGUAGGUGAACCUGCGGAAGGAUCAUUCAAAGAUUCUUAAAAAAUUGUGUAAAGAGAUGGCUUUUAAGUCAUUUCGAACACUUUUUUUCACACCUAACUAACCAUUGAAAUUUGGUGGUCGAGACAACACACUGCAGUUAUAAUUAUAAUUACAACAGUGUGUAAACCUCGCCUCAACAUAUCGGCUGAUACAAACAGCAGUGUCAAGGGAUAUUUAUUAUCUCUAAACACCGUUUGAUACUUGUAAUAUAAUACAACUUUCAACAAUGGAUCUCUUGGCUCUC
rnacentral:misc_RNA from 1 species